GUGGGUUACACGGGAGGUAUCCAAGCAUUGUUACGAGAAACGAUUCAUGUGUUUAUGAGGUUUGCAGUGUACAUAGGAUACAUAGUAACAGACAGGUAGUUAAUCAUAUAUGCAUGGUUCGCUUUCUCACAUCAAUGCCUGGAUGCUUCCCGUCUGAUUUUCAAUUUCAGGUGUUUUGUUAAAGGAACAAGGAACUAUGAUGCAUUACAAAGUAUUUCCCUGCACACAACCCUGGUGCACGAGCCAAGAGGUAAAGAAGUGCAAAAGAGUCAUGACGACGACAGAAUUAUGAAGAAUCCACCAAAGUGCAAAGAGAAGAAAACAGUAAAAGAAUUGAAAAGGAACAAAAGAAAUACUACGAAAUAGAACAAGGAAGAGAAGAACCGGAUAGUAGAUCAAACUUUUUAUCAGAUGUUAAUUGUAAGCAUGCUCAAAAGUGUAUUAUAGAAAUAAACACUGUGUAAAAACAA